rnacentral:rRNA from 1 species
UACGUAGGGUGCAAGCGUUAAUCGGAAUUACUGGGCGUAAAGCGUGCGCAGGCGGUUGUGCAAGACAGAUGUGAAAUCCCCGGGCUCAACCUGGGAAUUGCAUUUGUGACUGCACGGCUAGAGUGUGUCAGAGGGGGGUAGAAUUCCACGUGUAGCAGUGAAAUGCGUAGAGAUGUGGAGGAAUACCGAUGGCGAAGGCAGCCCCCUGGGAUAACACCGACGCCUCAUGCACGAAAGCGUGGGGAGCAAACAGG